rnacentral:tRNA from 1 species
GGACCUGUAGUCUAACGGAUAGGACACGGCCUUGCGGAGGCUGAGAUCCGGGUUCGAUUCCCGGUGGGUUCG